rnacentral:rRNA from 1 species
CUGUGACGUUAACAGCAGAAGAAGGACCGGCUAACUCCGUGCCAGCAGCCGCGGUAAUACGGAGGGUCCGAGCGUUAAUCGGAAUUACUGGGCGUAAAGCGCGCGUAGGUGGUUCAGUCAGUCAGAUGUGAAAGCCCCGGGCUCAACCUGGGAACUGCACCUGAUACUGCUGAGCUAGAGUACGGUAGAGGGUAGUGGAAUUUCCGGUGUAGCGGUGAAAUGCGUAGAGAUCGGAAGGAACACCAGUGGCGAAGGCGACUACCUGGACCGAUACUGACACUGAGGUGCGAAAGCGUGGGUAGCAAACAGGAUUAGAUACCCUGGUAGUCCACGCCGUAAACGAUGUCAACUAGCCGUUGGGGGACUUGAUCCUUUAGUGGCGAAGCUAACGCGAUAAGUUGACCGCCUGGGGAGUACGGCCGCAAGGUUAAAACUCAAAUGAAUUGACGGGGGCCCGCACAAGCGGUGGAGCAUGUGGUUUAAUUCGAAGCAACGCGAAGAACCUUACCUACUCUUGACAUCCAGAGAACUUUCCAGAGAUGGAUUGGUGCCUUCGGGAACUCUGAGACAGGUGCUGCAUGGCUGUCGUCAGCUCGUGUUGUGAAAUGUUGGGUUAAGUCCCGUAACGAGCGCAACCCUUAUCCUUAUUUGCCAGCGAGUAAUGUCGGGAACUCUAAGGAGACUGCCGGUGACAAACCGGAGGAAGGUGGGGAUGACGUCAAGUCAUCAUGGCCCUUACGAGUAGGGCUACACACGUGCUACAAUGGCCGGUACAGAGGGCUGCAAACUCGCGAGAGCAAGCUAAUCUCACAAAACCGGUCGUAGUCCGGAUCGCAGUCUGCAACUCGACUGCGUGAAGUCGGAAUCGCUAGUAAUCGUGAAUCAGAAUGUCACGGUGAAUACGUUCCCGGGCCUUGUACACACCGCCCGUCACACCAUGGGAGUGGGUUGCACCAGAAGUAGCUAGUCUAACCUUCGGGAGGACGGUUACCACGGUGUGAUUCAUGACUGGGGUGAAGUCGUAACAAGGUAGCCCUAGGGGAACCUGGGGCUGGAUCACCUCCUUA